UACGUAGGGUGCGAGCGUUAAUCGGAAUUAUUGGGCGUAAAGGGUGAGUAGGCGGUUAGGUAAGUUAAUAGUGAAAGCAUUGGGCUCAACCUGAUAAGUGCUAUUAAAACUGCUUAACUAGAGUUAGUUAGAGGAUUGUGGAAUUCCAAGUGUAGUAGUGAAAUGCGUAGAUAUUUGGAGGAACCUUAAUGGCGAAGGCAGCAAUCUGGGAUGAGACUGACGCUGAAUCACGAAAGCGUGGGGAGCAAACAGG
rnacentral:rRNA from 1 species